rnacentral:rRNA from 1 species
GACGAACCGUGCAAACGUUAUUCGGAAUCACUGGGCCUAAAGGGCGCGUAGGCGGCUUUCUAAGUCAGGGGUGAAAUCCGGCAGCUCAACUGUCGCAGUGCCUUUGAUACUGGAGAGCUCGAGGGAGGUAGGGGUCUGUGGAACUUCCGGUGGAGCGGUGAAAUGCGUUGAUAUCGGAAGGAGCGCCGGUGGCGAAAGCGACGGACUGGAUCUCUUCUGACGCUGAGGCGCGAAAGCCAGGGGAGCAAACGGG